CUUUAUAUUCUCUUUUCUCUUUCAAUCUUAUUUAAGAUUAAAAUAAUUUAUAAAUCACUUUUUGUUAUCAGUUGAAACAAGCUAGAAAUUUAUUUUUGAACCUAAUUAUAAGACUCAAAUCCAAAUGCUAUCUCGUUGGCUCUACAUUCUUGUUUUCCAAAUCUUUGUGUCAUGGAGUGUUAGAGUGACUGGGCUAAAAUGCUUCGUUGGCUUAGGGAACACAAGCACUCGGAACAUACAGGAAUUAGUAGAAUGUCCAGCAAAGAAAUAUUAUGUUUGUGUUAAAAUGUACGGAGGGGGCAUGGGAGAUCAAAUUCAGAGAUACUGUGAAAAAAUCAAACGAGAGGACUACAAUGAAUUACUUGACAUCGAAGAAAAACUUCAGAAUAACGAAGAGUACACAAAUUCCCUUGUAUCAGAUCCCACUUGUAAGCCAUCAAAGCAUAAUGGACGGGAUGUCAUUAUUUGCCUUUGCUCUAUGGAUAAAUGUAAUGGAUCGGAGGCCCGUAGGGCCUCGAGUUUCCAUUUUCUUCCGUCUUUCCUACUACUUCUUACCGUUGCCCUCCAUAACCGAUUAUUAUUAUAAAUUAUAAUUUAUUUGGUUUUAAUUUAGAAUAUAAUCGUCUUGAGUAUAUGGUUUAGCUCCACCCUUAGCGACUCACCAUAAAUAGUUAUUUAAUCUAUUUGAUUUUAUAUACCUACCUUCUACAAAAAAUAUAUAUAUUUUAUCUCUAAUGAAUCAAUUUAAAAUGUGUUAUAAAUAAUAAUAUUUGAUAAAUAGAUCCAAUAAAUUGCUCAGAUCAAAGAAGUCAUCUGAUUCAUCAAUUAACACUAUUUUCCAGCCAAGGAGACUGAGUUAAAAGUACAAAUUUCCUACAUUUUAUGAAAAAUGUGAGCAUUGGAAAAUUGAAGUGGGAAAAAAAAAGAAUAGCCUUUUUAAUUUGGCUAAAGAAUGGAAUUGAUUUGGUACCACUGUAUUGGCUGUAAAGGUGUUUUUUAUUUUGUCCUGUCCUCUCUUCAAUCUUUCUUUCCUUUUCCGAUCUACUUAGGAGUAAUCAUGGCAGAAGAAGCGAAUCCCGCAGUUCAGAGGAAGCGUCCUUUCCGCAAAUUCGUCUACCGUGGCGUUGACUUGGAUCAAUUGUUGGACCAGUCCAACAAGGAACUCAUGGAGCUCUUCCCCUGCCGUAUCCGUAGAAAGUAUGUCCGUGGGUUGAAGCGUAAACAGCUUACCCUUAUGAUGAAACUCCGUAAGAAGAAGAAGGAGUGUUUACCUAUGGAGAAGCCAGACGUUGUGAAGACGCAUCUUCGCAACAUGGUCGUCGUUCCUGAGAUGACUGGCUCCAUUGUGGGUGUCUACAACGGAAAGACCUUCAACCAGGUCGAAAUUAAGCCAGAAAUGAUAGGUCAUUAUUUGGGUGAAUUCUCCAUCACAUACAAACCCGUCAAGCACGGUCGCCCCGGUAUCGGUGCCACUCACUCCUCAAGAUUUAUUCCCCUCAAGUAGACAUUCUUUUAUAUUGACUAAAACAAAAUCAAUAUAUAUUAAAUACAAAAUCUAUUUGUA
rnacentral:misc_RNA from 1 species